rnacentral:rRNA from 1 species
CCUACGGGUGGCUGCAGUGAGGAAUAUUGGUCAAUGGGCGCGAGCCUGAACCAGCCAAGUCGCGUGAGGGAUGAAGGUUCUAUGGAUCGUAAACCUCUUUUAUAAGGGAAUAAAGUGUGGGACGUGUCCUAUUUGUUAUGUACCUUAUGAAUAAGGAUCGGCUAACUCCCUGCCAGCAGCAGCGGUAAUAUGGAGGAUCCGAGCGUUAUCCGGAUUUAUUGGGUUUAAAGGGUGCGUAGGCGGCCUUUUAAGUAAGCGGUGAAAGUCUGUGGCUCAACCAUAGAAUUGCCGUUGAAACUGGGGGGCUUGAGUUUGUUUGAGGCAGGCGGAAUGCGUGGUGUAGCGGUGAAAGGCUUAGAGAGCACGCAGAACCCCGAUAGCGAAGGCAGCCUGCCAAGCCAUGACUGACGCUGAUGCACGAAAGCGUGGGGAUCAAACAGGAUUAGAUACCCUUGUAGUC